AUUGAACGCUGGCGGCAGGCCUAACACAUGCAAGUCGAACGAGUGGCGGACGGGUGAGUAAUGUCUGGGAAACUGCCCGAUGGAGGGGGAUAACUACUGGAAACGGUAGCUAAUACCGCAUACCAUCGGAUGUGCCCAGAUGGGAUUAGCUAGUAGGUGGGGUAAUGGCUCACCGAGGCGACGAUCCCUAGCUGGUCUGAGAGGAUGAUCAGUCACACUGGAACUGAGAAACGGUCCAGACUCCUACGGGAGGCAGCAGGGGGGAAUAUUGGACAAUGGGCGAAAGCCUGAUCCAGCCAUGCCGCGUGUGGGAAGAAGGCCUUCGGGUUGUAAAGUACUUUCAGCGGGGAGGCGUUACCCGCAGAAGAAGCACCGGCUAACUCCGUGCCAGCCGCCGCGGUAAUAC
rnacentral:rRNA from 1 species